UCAGAUUUUGGGCGUUUUGGGUGUUCUUGGUUGAUUUCUAAACUGAUCUCCUUUUAAAAACAUUAAACAACAGUUUUUACCCAGAAAAAUUUUUGGAAAAAAAAUUCAUUUGAGUGGGUAAACAUUGUCCAAUUGGUUUAAAAUUUUAUAUUCAUAUUUUUGGCACUUUGAUAGAUUAUUAAAAAAUAUUUCCCGCAAAA
rnacentral:lncRNA from 1 species